rnacentral:tRNA from 1 species
UCCCUGGUAGUAUAUCGGCUAGUACACCCGCCUGUCAUGCGAGUGCGCGGGAGAGCGGGGUUCGACUCCCCGCCAGGGAG